AUGGGUUAGUACCAAAAUUGGUAGAUCUAGGGUUUUGAAACCCUAAAAAUGAAAAAUUGAAUUUGGACCCAAAAAAUCAGGAAAAGGCUUUGAUACCAUGAAGAAUUUUAGGAAAAUUUUGAGUAUUUUUAUAUUUCACUCUUAAUCUUUACAAUUGGUCUACAUGACUAUUUAUACACAGAGAAUCAUAUCUAAACAGGAAGUAAAUAAUCAAAUAAUA
rnacentral:lncRNA from 1 species